rnacentral:rRNA from 1 species
CCUGAAUGGUCUCUCACCCAAAGACGUGGAAGCCAUGCUUUUCAGCGUUGCCUAAGGAUGGAGCCGCGGCCGAUCAGGUUGUUGGUGAGGUAAUGGCUCACCAAGCCUAUAACCGGUACGGGCCAUGAGAGUGGGAGCCCGGGGAUGGGCACUGAGACAGGGGCCCAGGCCCUACGGGGCGCAGCAGUUGCGAAACCUCCACAAUGCACGAAAGUGCGAUGGGGCUAACCCGAGUGCCGUCCGCUGAGGAGGGCUUUUCUCCGCUGUAAGGAGGCGGAGGAAUAAGGAGAGGGCAAGACUGGUGUCAGCCGCCGCGGUAAUACCAGCUCUCCGAGUGGUAGGGACGAUUAUUGGGCCUAAAGCGUUCGUAGCCGGCUUGGCAAGUCUCUCGUUAAAUCCAGUGACCUAAUCGCUGGGCUGCGGGAGAUACUGUCAGGCUUGGGAGCGGAAGAGGUCGACGGUAUUCUCGGGGUAGGGGUGAAAUCCUGUAAUCCCGGGAGGACCACCAGUGGCGAAGGCUGUCGACUAGAACGCGUCCGACGGUGAGGGACGAAAGCUGGGGGAGCGAACCGGAUUAGAUACCCGGGUAGUCCCAGCUGUAAACUAUGCGGGCUAGGUGUCAGUGUGGCUACGAGCCACUCUGGUGCCGCAGGGAAGCUCAUAAGCCCGCCGCCUGGGAAGUAC